AUGACUGUUCAAACUUCAAACAGGGGCGUCAGUUUGAGGUGUUCCCUUGGAGAUGCCCUAAUCUCGAAUCCAUCGUACCCCUCCAUCCAACGGCACAGAGACAGUUCCUGCUACCUCGCAAAAUUGCCACCCAGCCACAGCCCCCUCGCCGCCGCCGCCGCCGCCUCUAACCCCCGCCUUUGGCCACCUGCACCUCCCCGGGCCAGAAAUUCCUUCUCCGUACCCGUCGAUUCGCGGGAGGCGGCCAUGGAGCACGGUUCGGUGGCGGAUUCGAGCGCGUCGACCUUCUCCAUCAUGGAGGAGGAUCACACCCUCGCCAACUCCGUCAGAUUUGUCCUCAACCAGGACCCAAGGGUAGCAUUUUGUGGAUAUAGCAUCCCUCAUCCUGCAGACAACAAAGUCAACAUAAGAGUUCAGACUACAGGAGAUCCAGCAAAGGAUGUAAUGAAAGAUGCUUUACAGGACUUGAUGGUGAUGGGCCAGCAUGUUAGAGGGACUUUUGACAAAGCAGUGGCUGAUUUUAAAUCAAAGAUGCCUGCAGAACAAAUGGAUGUUGAUUUGAAUCAGCAAUGA
rnacentral:rRNA from 1 species